GAUGAACGCUAGCGACAGGCUUAACACAUGCAAGUCGAGGGGCAGCGAUAGGUGGCAACACCGAGUCGGCGACCGGCGCACGGGUGAGUAACGCGUAUGCAACCUGCCCAUCAGGCGGGGGAUAACCCGUCGAAAGACGGACUAAAUACCGCAAUAAAACGAGGGGUUCCGCAUGGAAAUUAUUUAGUUAAAGAUUUAUUGCUGAUGGAUGGGCAUGCGUUCUAUUAGGCAGUU
rnacentral:rRNA from 1 species